rnacentral:lncRNA from 1 species
UCCUGGGUAAUGCCUGCAAGGCAGCAGGGCUCAGAGCUGGCACCCGGGCACCCCGGCAGGCAGGUGGGGCCGUACUCACCGCGGUCGGCCAUGGCUGUCUCAAGGCAGUCCAGCGUCCGCUCAUCCUCACACAGGUCGUAAGGCAUGUUCCCGUCAGUGUUGACGGCCAGGAGGUCAGCACCACUGCACGCAGAAUGGACAGGGGCUUUGGCCACAGAACGCUUCUCCCCCACGGAGGCCUCCAGUCCACCCGCUGCAGAGGCCCUCGGCCUAGGGCUGCUCUCCUGGACGGUGUGGGUUGAAUGUGGAGGAGGCCCAGGCCCCCGGUGCCCCUGGGACCAUCUGGCUGUGGACCUCAGCUCUGGAUCCUGUACUCACGCCAGGCAGGCCACCCCCCAGUCUCCACCCACGUCUGAGCUCCAGGUUCCUGACACCCAUCUGUCCCUGUCAACCUGCACAACGGGCCCACGUACCAGGGGGCACUGCUGGGACUCUAGAAGCCUUGGGGAGCAAAAGACAGAGGGAGGAGAGCCCAGAUGACAGAAGACAGCUGCAGAGAACGGGGCUCAGGCAGGAACAUGGCCCCAGGGAAAGACAGGGAGCUGAAGGGAGCCCAGAACACAAAGGUGGGCGCUCGCUGUGGAGAGGAGCAGGGAGGGGGUAGGGGCUGUCUGUGCACAUCCAUCCCUCCUACUCUGCGGCAUCUGUGUGUGAAGGGGAGAGACUGCCACCCGCCCACACACCCACCAUCAGCACCUGGACCACUCCGAGGACAGCCUGGGCCCCUGGCCGUCUGCUCUACUACAGGGGUCCCUAUGGGGGGAUUCCUGGAUGCCCCUUUCUGUUCACCAAGGCCUGUGUCCGAAGCAGCUCUGCCCUGCUCCGCCCUCCUUGUCAAAGGCCCCACCUCCGUCUUCACCACUGCUACCCCCAUCAUUCUGCCCAGAGUGGCAGUUCUCUGGGCAGACCCCAGGGAGGACCGGAGCUAGAGGUCAAGGCCUGCCCUCAAGGAGUUCCCAAACCCCUAAGAGUGCUCGGCAGGAGGGUGUGCCCAGGCCGACAGCCUGCCGGGCAGACAACCACACUGCCCUGGGCACACGCUUGUCCCCUUGGCGUCAGUGUCUGCAGCCUCUGCCCAGGCCCUGAUCUCCACCAGCAUGAAGUCAGGGUAGGCAAGGGUGAGAGGGAACACAAGAGGCCAAGGGCCAAGUGUGCUUCCUGUGGAGGGGACAACAGGCUCGUGUCUCAGGAAGAACUACUAUCUGCGAGGAAGGCCCUGCCCGCUGGCCUGGCUACGGCCCCUCCCCAGCUCUGGCCACACCAGCGGGGCCCUACCGGGCAAUGAGCAGCUCCACCAGGUGCAGGUGGCCACAGGUGGCCGCGGCGUGCAGGGGUGUCCAGCUUUCGCUGUCACGGGCGUUGACCUCGGCCCCGGCGUCCAGCAGCUGCCGUACCACGUCCCGGAAGUCAUCGAUGCAGCUCUACGAACCACAGAGCCUGAGGCCAGCGCCCCGGCCAGCGCCCCCUCCUCUCCCACCCCACCCUCGGCGUGGCUGACCUGGUGCAGCGCCGUCAGGCCAUCCUCGUUGGCCAGGUCAGGGCUGACCCCGCUCUCGAGGAACUGGCGGACUGUGAGAAGGGGGCGGGAAGCGUGGUCAGGACGCAGGGCUAGGGGUCCUGCCAGGCCAACACUGUUCAGCCCGGGCGCCAGGUACCUGGGCGGACUGCUGUGCCGCAGCCGGGAGCAGAGAGUGGUGAGGAAGACAGAGGUGUGGGUGGCAAGAGGGACACCCGAGUCCAGGCUGAGGGCUCAAGAGUCGGGGCUCUGGGUAUCUGUCGGCCCCCAGGUGGGCAUACACAGCAGCCCUCCGCCCCCAGCACCUAGCAGGACCCACCCCUCCUGAAUCAGGGCACUCCCAGCCCUCAGGCUCCUGUGUGAGCGCAGGCCCCCUGCCCAGCUGCAGCCUGCAGUGUGGGCCCCAGGCAUCCAGGCCCACCCCCUCCAAGGUCUCCCUCAGCAGAGCUGAUCCCUGUCCUCACUCUUCAGUGGUCCCAUCUGGGGCCUAGCCUGUCACCAAGGUCAUCCCAGACCUCCUUACUGGCCUGGCCCUCCCAGAUAUGCUCCAUGGGCAGCAGGGUGAUGCACCCCACUUCCCACAGUUCCCUGAGCCUGGGCCAGCGGCACACCCACCACGCCCUCCUCUACCGCCCCUGCCUUGAGGCACUGCCUGCCUCUCCUUGCCCUCUGCACCCCAGCCUCUGCCCUGGAGGACGGCAGGACGAGCCUUCAGGAGCCCCUCAGGGACAGCGGAGGGGCCAUGAGCACACAGGGUGCAGGGGAGGAACGAGGAGCCUGUCACUGCCCAGGGCGGUCCUGAUGGGGAGGAAGAAGUCAAAGAUGGGCAGAGGCAGGUGUCGAGAGGGCUGGCCUGCGGGGACCCCUGACCCCGCACUCUAACCUGCUGAGGUGGGCGUGGCCGCCCUCCUUUACACAGGUGGAGACAGGGCCCAAGCAGGUGGUGGCCAGGUCUCUCCUGGUCAUCGCCCAGCACCCUGGCCAGAGGCACCGAAGAGGAUGGGCCACUCCCAGCCCACCUGAGCCAAGCCCUGGGCACUGCCCCGAGCUCCUGUGGGCUCCCCGAUGCCCCUGCCCAAUCCCAUCAGCCUCACCCCUGCAGCAGCACCCCAGUGUGCUGCGCCAUCACGGGUGAGCCUCAAGUGGCCGACCACUGAGAGCAAGCGCCCGAGGACACCAGGCCAGCCCCGGGGCCUCCGCAGGACAGCACUGUGCCCUCCGCAGCUCUCUCCAGGGCUGAGGUGGAGGACAGGGUCUGCCCUUGGGCUCAGCCAUGCUCACCUUCCUCCAGGUCAUUUCGGGCAGCAGCCUCCAGGAGGGCAACGCUGGGAGGGAAAAGGACCCGCUUCUGUGGCCGGCCGCUGGCUGCCUCCUUCCAUGGCCGCGGCCGCUCCUGGCGGCCCUUCUUGCCCUGGGCCUCCUUCUCAGCCUGGGCCCACAUCUUCACCUGCUGGGCACGCCGCUUCUGGGCGUGCUUCAGCCGCUCCUGUGUGCUCAUCCUGCCCACCAUGGGCAUCUCUGCCAGCAGCUCCAGGUGCUCGGCCAUGGCGGGGGNGGGGCCGCCUGCCCGGGGGACUGCUCGGGGCACCAGGUGGGGGAGCACCGGGGCCAGACUGGGCCUGAGGGGUGGGGCAGCUGGCUGGACUGGCACCCUUGGGGGCAUCCCCUCCCCAAGGCUCAGUGGUGCCCUCCGCCCCUGGCAAGGCUGGGUCACGAGGCCCCACGCCGUGACCAGGCCCGGGCAGAAAGGGCAGGGUGGGAGGGCACCUGCUGCCUGCCUCUCAAGAGCCCCGGCACCUCGGCUACUCAAUGGGCAGGGCCUCACCUCCCUCUUGGGGUCAGGGUGCACAGCCUGUGGGAAGCAGCCCACGACCUGGCCAGCCUCGGUCCAGGGUCUGAAGCUAAUUACCUAGAUAAGAGAGGUGCAGCGUCCUGGCACUUGGAUGAGGGUGAAGCGGGGGCAGGGCAAUGGGCAGAGGCCCCCUCACCUUCCAGGCCUUAGGAUCCUGGGUGGGGCCUGGGAGCAGCCAUGGCCUGGCCUCCCCUCCCCUCUCCCUCACUCUUCCAGGGUCAGUACGUUAGUGCUAACAGGGGGGUGUGGCCAGAGGGCGGGCCCCACAGCCACAGAGAAACCGGGGCAGGGCGUGCCCUCAGAGUCCUGGGGUCUCGGCCCCGAGUGCCCAGGAGUGAGACUGUGUGAGCAGCCAGGGUACCAAGGGCACGGCAGGCCUGGCGACUAUGUCUUCAGGAGGGCCUCCUUUUGGGAGAGCAGUUGAUCA